CCGCGUGUGUGAAGAAGGCCGAGGGUUGUAAAGCCUUUCAAUGUGAAGAAAAGUAAAGGUUAAUAACCUUUAGCCUUGACCUUAACUUUAGAAGAACACCGCUAACUCCGUGCCAGCAGCCGCGGUAAUACGAGGGGCAAGCGUUAUCGAAUUACUGGGCGUAAAGCGGCGUAGGGUUUGUUAAGUUAGAUGUAAAGCCCUGGGCUCACCUAGGACUGUUUAAAACUGGCAAACUUGAGUAUAGGAGAGGAAAGUGGAAUUUCGGGGAGCGGGAAAUGCGUAAAUUUCUGAAGGAACUCCAUGGCGAAGGCGCUUUCUGGACUUAUACUGACCUGAGGACGAAAGCUGGGUAACAACAGGAUUAAUACCCUGGUAGUCCACCC
rnacentral:rRNA from 1 species